ACGAAGGGUGCAAGCGUUAAUCGGAAUUACUGGGCGUAAAGCGUGCGUAGGUGGCCUGUUAAGUCGGAUGUGAAAGCCCCGGGCUCAACCUGGGAAUGGCAUCCGAUACUGGCGAGCUAGAGUGUGUCAGAGGAUGGUGGAAUUCCCGGUGUAGCGGUGAAAUGCGUGGAGAUCGGGAGGAACAUCAGUGGCGAAGGCGGCCAUCUGGGACAACACUGACGCUGAAGCACGAAAGCGUGGGGAGCAAACAGGA
rnacentral:rRNA from 1 species